GUCUACGGCCACGCCACCCUGAACAUGCCCAAUCCCAUCUGACCUCAGAAGCUAAGCAGGGUCGGGCCUGGUUGGUACUUGGAUGGGAGACCGCCCAGGAAGACCAGGUGCUAUAGGUG
rnacentral:rRNA from 1 species